GAUGAACGCUGGCGGCGUGCUUAACACAUGCAAGUCGAGCGAGUGAGUUCUUCGGAACGAUCUAGCGGCGGACGGGUGAGUAACACGUGGGCAACCUGCCUCAUAGAGGGGAAUAGCCUCCCGAAAGGGAGAUUAAUACCGCAUAACAUCGUUGAAGGGCAUCCUUCGAUGAUCAAAGGAGUAAUCCGCUAUGAGAUGGGCCCGCGGCGCAUUAGCUAGUUGGUGAGGUAACGGCUCACCAAGGCGACGAUGCGUAGCCGACCUGAGAGGGUGAUCGGCCACAUUGGGACUGAGACACGGCCCAGACUCCUACGGGAGGCAGCAGUGGGGAAUAUUGCACAAUGGGGGAAACCCUGAUGCAGCAACGCCGCGUGAGUGAUGACGGCCUUCGGGUUGUAAAGCUCUGUCUUUGGGGACGAUAAUGACGGUACCCAAGGAGGAAGUCACGGCUAACUACGUGCCAGCAGCCGCGGUAA
rnacentral:rRNA from 1 species